GGAAGCAGAUGGGAUCUGGUGGUCUCCGCGGUCUUCAAAACCGUUGUCUGCAAUUGAGCAGAGGCAGGUUCGAUUCCUGCCUCUUCCG
rnacentral:tRNA from 1 species